rnacentral:rRNA from 1 species
UACGUAGGGGGCAAGCGUUGUCCGGAUUUAUUGGGCGUAAAGAGCGUGUAGGCGGCCAGGUAGGUCGGUUGUGAAAACUGGAGGCUUAACCUUCAGACGUCGACCGAAACCAUCUGGCUAGAGUCCGGAAGAGGAGAGUGGAAUUCCUGGUGUAGCGGUGGAAUGCGCAGAUAUCAGGAAGAACACCGGUGGCGAAGGCGGCUCUCUGGGCCUUACCUGACGCUGAGGAGCGAAAGCGUGGGUAGCGAACAGG